rnacentral:rRNA from 1 species
CGUAGGGACCAAGCGUUGUUCGGAUUUACUGGGCGUAAAGGGCGCGUAGGCGGCAAUUCAAGUCAGCUGUGAAAUCUCCGGGCUUAACUCGGAACGGUCAGCUGAUACUGCUUUGCUAGAGUGCAGAAGGGGCGAUCGGAAUUCUUGGUGUAGCGGUGAAAUGCGUAGAUAUCAAGAGGAGCACCUGAGGUGAAGACGGGUUGCUGGGCUGACACUGACGCUGAGGCGCGAAAGCUAGGGUAGCAAACGGGAUUAGAUACCCCGGUAGUCCUAGCCCUAAACGAUGAGUACUUGGUGUCUGGAGUUUUUAUCCUCCGGGUGCCGUCGCUAACGUUUUAAGUAUUCCGCCUGGGGAGUACGCACGCAAGUGUG